rnacentral:rRNA from 1 species
AUGCUUUUCUGCCACGCCACUCCUGAGGAGAUAUCCGCUGUCAACGACAUCCUGGACGUGUUCGGCAUGGCAUCGGGGCUACGGGUGAAUUACUCCAAGAGCUCGGUCACGGUUAUACAUGGCGAUGAUUCUGUUGCGGGGCUGGUUGAACUGCUUGGGUGCCCCGUCGUGACCCUGUCGGUCACCUACCUGGGCAUCCCGCUCACCACCCGCCACCCCUCUGCGGCUCAGCUGCAACCCCUCGUCGACGCGGUGGCGGGCCGGCUACCCUCCUGGAAGGCUUGGCUGAUGAACAAGGCUGGACGGCUUGCGCUAGUCAAGUCGGUGCUCACCGCGAUACCGAUCCAUCAACUGCUCGCGCUCGCGCCCCCAAAGAAAACCUUGAAGCAACUUGAGAAGAUCCAGCGUGGGUUUCUUUGGGCCGGCCGCGUGGAUGCCCAUGGUGGUCAUUGCCACGUGAACUGGUGCCGGGUCUGCCGACCGCUUGAAUAUGGCGGUCUGGGCGUCCGGGACCUGGAGCGCAAAGGGCUCUUGCUUCGGUUGCGUUGGCUAUGGCUUGCGCGCACAGACACGGACAGAGCACGGCAGGGGCUGGACCUGCAAUUCACUUCGGAGGAGCGCGCGCUUUUUUACGCCUCCACUACCAUGGCCCUCGGGGAUGGCAGGACCGCACUUUUUUGGGAGGAUCGCUGGCUUGGCAGCCAAUCUGUCCGCGAGCUCGCGCUCAUGCUCUUUCUGUUAGACCUUUCAACCUGA